CCGCGCGCAGACAAGAUGGCGCUGCGUCUGCUGAGGAGAGCGGCGCGCGGAGCGGCGCUGCCGAGGCUGAAAGCAUCUCUGGCAGCUGAUGUGUCCAGGCUUGGGUACAGUUCCUCACCCAACCACAAAUACAUUCCGCGAAGGGCCGUGCUCUAUGUUCCUGGAAAUGAUGAAAAGAAAAUUAAGAAGAUUCCCUCUCUGAAUGUGGAUUGUGCAGUACUCGACUGUGAGGAUGGUGUGGCUGUGAACAAAAAGGAUGAAGCUCGAUUGAGAAUAGUAAAAACUCUUGAAGACUUUGAUCUGGGCCCAACUGAAAAGUGUGUAAGAAUCAACUCAGUGUCCAGUGGUCUGGCCGAAGAAGAUCUGCAGGCCCUCCUGCGGUCCCGGGUCCUUCCUUCCAGCCUGAUGCUCCCGAAGGUAGAAGAUCCUGAAGAAAUCCAGUGGUUUUCAGACAAAUUUUCAUUCUACUUACAAGGCCGAAAACUUGAACAACCUAUGAAUUUAAUCCCUUUUGUGGAAACUGCAAUGGGUUUGCUCAAUUUUAAGGCAGUGUGUGAAGAAGCACUAAAGAACGGGCCUCAAGUGGGUCUUUUUCUAGAUGCAGUCGUUUUUGGAGGAGAAGACUUUCGCGCCAGCAUAGGUGCAACAAGUAGUAAGGAAACCCAAGAUAUUCUCUACGCCCGACAAAAGAUUGUUGUUGUAGCAAAGGCCUUUGGUCUGCAGGCCAUAGACCUGGUGUACAUCGACUUCCAGGAUGGAGAGGGGCUUCUCAAGCAGUCGAGAGAAGGAGCUGCAAUGGGAUUUACUGGUAAGCAGGUGAUACACCCUAACCAAAUUGCAGUGGUCCAGGAGCAGUUUUCUCCUUCCCCUGAAAAACUUAAGUGGGCUGAAGAACUGAUUGCUGCCUUUAAAGAACAUCAACAGUUAGGAAAGGGAGCCUUUACUUUCCGAGGGAGUGUGAUCGACAUGCCAUUACUGAAGCAGGCCCAGAACAUUGUUAGGCUUGCCAUGUCCAUCAAGGAAAAAUGAUCUGCUAAAUGAAGCUCUCAUCAGCUGCCUGCCUCAGAGACACUGCCUGACCCUGGCACGGGUAUGUGAACUCAUCACAAUUCAAACAGCCAAUCAUCCAGUGCAACCAGGAAGCUGGGCAACCAGGCAAGUCCCUCCUUGAGAAAGGACUUGUGACCAAACAACUCCAAAACUGUGGACUCGGGUUAAUCAGGGAAGGAAAGCAGGAAAGAAAGUGGUGUGGUCGUCUCCUCUUCCUGAGAAUGCUCCCUGGCACACACAGCUUGGAAUUUGCUUUGCCGGCCAUGUGGUGCCACUAAUCAACGCCAACUGUUUGAAGAUGCAGGACAGAAGAAAUUCUGAAGGCUGCCGCUUCCUUAUACCUCCCUGAGAGCCAUCUUUGAGGAUUUAAGGCAAGAGAAUUAUUGAAACACAUUUCAUUGAUUUAUUAUUAAUUGUCCCUUGGGUAAGCACAGAAAGUACCAAGCAGAGGAAGGCUGCAUGACUUGUGGUCACUGAAACACUUUCAAGUGUCUGCCCAGAUCCUGAAUUUCUGCCAUGAACAGGGGAACCAAAAUGAGGAAACACAAGUUAUAGAGAUUAGACUCCAGGUGAAGAGGAAGGGGGUGUAGGAAGGAGGUGUGGGGUACAGCUUGCUGAGUAGUGGGAGCAGAGACCACGCAACUGAGGCAGCUGGCAGAGGAGGGAGGUGGAGGCUUGCUUUGGGAGCGAAGCCAAAGUCUACUGUCAGGGUGUGGGAUCCAGAAAAAUCCCACCGGUUAACAUGAAUAAAUGCCCACCAGCAGAAAGACAAAUACUGCUUCUGGUCCAAGAAACAGAGGCCUGAAUGGCCAAGGAAAGUAGAUUCUUAUCUUCGGGCAAGGGCCCAGCGACACACCAGCUCAGAAACAUGUCCCAAAGGAAGGGAGCAUCGUUACUGCCAGCUGAGCAUCUCCGAACCCCCAUCCAUGGAGGAAACAAGACGUGGGAUGAGAAAUAGGUGCGCGUGCGCACAAACGCACACACAAGAAAAUAAGUGUUAGCCUGCUGCCUGAUCGCACCCAAAUAAGGCAGACGUGCCCCAACCAGAUGUACCAGGCCUCUUCCAGAGAACUCAUUUGUUGUGGGCUGAUUUCUACUUCCUGGUGCAAUUUACUUGGGAAAAGGGGCCUUUCAUCGUUGAUAUUCUGUGAACUGGCCGGAACCAGAUAGACAAUAAUGAACUUUACAAACCUGAUUUUGCAGAAUCUGAAAAACACCCCUUGACUGUCGGUCCUCAGUACUUCCUUUCUGCUCACCCAGAGUCUUCUAUCUUUUAUUGAUUAGCACAAGCAUCGCAUGAGCCCCUUCUUAGGGCAAGGGACUAAAUCCAACAAGAGGUACCAUGUUGUUUUCAUUCCCCAAGGAUUUCACAGGUAAGUUCCACACUGUGCUGGGGGGUGAGGGGGGAUUGUUUUUCUCAAAGGCAGAAAACAGUCCACAUGCUUGUGGUUUUCUACUAACUCAACCUUUACUCACACUUUGCCUGAUCUGUAACUCAAACUCAGUAAACAGGCCUUUUAGGGAACUUGUAAAACCUAGGAUACUUUCAGACAAUUGGAUGAAUGUGGAAUAAAUCAACCAUUAGGGAAUAAAAAUGAUUUGGUUGUUACGUGAGAUAUAUGUGUCUUCAAGUAGUAUCACUGAUCCUCAGUCUCCUCUGAAUACUAAUUAAAAAAAAGACCCAGGGCUUCCCUGGUGGCGCA